AUAGGGCUGAAAUUUGAAAAAAAUAUGAAGUUGCUGCUUUAAAAAAAAAAAAACCCAGCUCAGGUUGAAGCAAUCAAGGCACAGCCAAUGAGGAACCGCGCUUAGCUACUAUAAAGGGGAAAUGCCUGCCCACCCAUGAAGGGAGUUUGCAGCAAGAGUUCUGGACAGAGCUGUGUUGAUGCAUCUUCUUUGUAUGCUUCGGUGAGCUGGAAACAGAAACAUGAAGAAAGCAUUCUGAAGCAUUGGUGGAGUAGCCUGGCUUGUUGAAUGAAGUACAUAAAAUCCAUGCUUCUAUCUCGAUACUGAAAGGUGUCCCUCACUUCAGUUCUCAUUCUGUAACACUGAAGCAUUGUCUUGAGAACAACUUGAACAUUUCGUUCCUGUUAUCUGUGUCGAAAUCUCCAGAUCACCCCAAACCUCAUAUACUUGCAUAAAAUAAGUGGUGACAGAAGGAAGAGACUGAGAAUUCAGGUGGAGAGAAGAGAGGCAGUUCUUUAGAGUGAGAGAUACGGUGAGAUUUUCUUUCUUAUUGGUUGUCAAUGUAUGUUACUCGCUGCUGAGUCGCAGGGUUUGAACAAGAAACGUGCAAUUUAUGUCUGUGAAAAAUGCAGUACCCCAACUGCUUUCACAGUUAGUUCUGUAGAGAUGGGUACUGGAGAUAGACAUGCCGUGUUGCAGAAGGUUAACUAACACCUAUUAAAUGAGCAUCCAACAUUGGUUUAUUAUCUAAACUUUAUUGCAAUUACUCCAUCCUGUGGUGUGUGCGCAAAUGAAUGUGAA
rnacentral:lncRNA from 1 species